rnacentral:rRNA from 1 species
UACAGAGGUCCCAAGCGUUGUUCGGAUUCACUGGGCGUAAAGGGUGCGUAGGUGGCGGGGUAAGUCGGAUGUGAAAUCUCCGAGCUCAACUCGGAAAUGGCAUCGGAAACUACCUUGCUCGAGGGUUGGAGGGGGGACUGGAAUGCUUGGUGUAGCAGUGAAAUGCGUAGAUAUCAAGCGGAACACCAGUGGCGAAGGCGAGUCCCUGGACAACUCCUGACACUGAGGCACGAAAGCUAGGGGAGCAAACAGG